rnacentral:rRNA from 1 species
UACAGAGGUCCCGAGCGUUGUUCGGAUUUAUUGGGCGUAAAGGGUGCGUAGGCGGCGGAGUAAGUUGGGUGUGAAAUCCCGGGGCUUAACCUCGGAAUGGCAUUCAAUACUGCUUCGCUCGAGUACUGGAGAGGAGGCUGGAAUUUACGGUGUAGCAGUGAAAUGCGUAGAGAUCGUAAGGAAGACCAGUGGCGAAGGCGAGUUUCUGGACAGUAACUGACGCUGAGGCACGAAGGCCAGGGGAGCAAACGGG